GGUGGGUGGAGAUCAAGAGCUCCGAUGUGACAUGAGAUCUCUCGUGUCAGCUCCCUCGUAACAGAGAGGAGGCACCUGACUGGUGGAAGCCAGCCUGUAAAUACCAGGAUCGCCAAUAACGUGCUGCCUGCGGCUCAAAGUACAGGCCGUGGUGGGCCGGAGCUGAAACAUUAACCAGGCCUUGGGCUUGCUGAGGACAAGCACAGUGGAUGGGUUGCUUCUUACCGAGUCUCAGCGCUGCCUGGGAGACGCUGGCGGACGCCAAUCACCACAGUGAAAUGCUGCAUGGCAAUACAAACGCAGCUUUUUUCCCCUUUUGGAGAUGAGCACGUGUCAAUUGAACAAAGGAUGAUAGGAAAGUUUUCUUCCAAAGACGAGCAAAACAAGGAGCACACUCUGAACAAAGAUCCUCCCAUUCCAUGAAGCUUUGGCAGCUAUAAAACAUCACAGAGCAGCAGCUUCCCAGGGAUGCUUUGGGACUGAGCAACCUCUGGGUUCCCCAGCGGUGCUGAAGAACUCCAACAUUUCUCCGUUUUGAAUAGAGCUGGCAAAAUCCAUAAUUGCUUCCAUUCUGCUUGGCUGGAAAAUAGCAAAAGCCAGGCAUGCUGCCACGGGACUGCUGGGUGCAGAGUGGGUAUGACAGAGGGCUCUGCACCAAGG
rnacentral:lncRNA from 1 species